CCGUCCCGCAAGGAGCGCGGUGCCAGCACGUGUUGGGACGACUCCACGUACCCGCAGCUGCUGACUGGAGCAGGACGGGCUCAUGCCCCGCAGCUUUCAAUCAUGGAAAAUCAGAGCCCACAAAGGCGAGAAGUCAGCAUUGUUGGAGACAUCAUCGCCGUCAGCGUGGAGUGUGUUUGCGGCUAGGAGGGGAAGGCGCCCUGGAACGAAGCUGUGCACGCAGUCAUUGCAGAGAGAUUGAAGACAAGGGAAGCAUCAGUAAAGCAAUGAACACUUAUAUUUAAUUUACAUUUGACAAUUUGCACAUAAAUAAUGAUGUAAACCAAUACGUAAACAUAUGAUAGUUUGUUGUUCUAGCAAAGUAAAAAGCCUGUUAACUUUGGUCAGAGUCUUUCUUAAGAGAGACAAAAAAAACCCAAAACACUGUUGAUUGUUGCUACAUUCACAUGUAAAACUUCUAAGGGAAGGGGGAAACAGUAAAGAGAAGUAACAAUUCUUAAAGCUGAUGCAUAUAAAUUCUUGUAAAAUUUGUAUCAAAUACAAGAAAGCACUACAGGCAAAUAUAGGAAAAGUGUGUGUCCAGUGACAGAGUAGUGAUACUUUGGUUUAUCCUACAAGUAAGUACUAUAUUUAUGAACUAUUGCUACAUUUAAAAGAUGUCAGCCUCACAAGUUGUAGGAGUGGAAAUGUAAUGAACUGUAGUCCUUCAAAAGCUGUGUAAAGAGACGUGUAUGUCAGGAUUGUUUAUCUUAAACAGAAGGCAUUAAAAUAGUUUGAUGGGG